rnacentral:rRNA from 2 species
GACUCUCGGCAACGGAUAUCUCGGCUCACGCAUCGAUGAAGAACGUAGCAAAAUGCGAUACUUGGUGUGAAUUGCAGAAUCCCGUGAACCAUCGAGUUUUUGAACGCAAGUUGCGCCCGAAGCCUUUCGGUCGAGGGCACGUCUGCCUGGGCGUCACAC